GCUUAACUGAAUUUUAUAAAGCUGAUCGAUAUCUUGGUAAAAUAUUCAUUUUUAAACUAGCGGCCAGCGAAAUCUUUGCUUUGUGCUAAAGUCAACAGCCGCCCGCUUGCGGCUCCCAUAAAUGCGGGGAUGCUCCCGGCUCCCGCAGAGCGGGCGCGGCGGCGCGGGGCGCAGGUAGGUGACACCCGCAGCGCUUCCCCUUCCCCUCCUUCUUUGCGUUUGUCACCUCCGGCUGCGCUCCGCUGUCCCCCCCCCACCCCCACCCCCCAUGCCUCCCCCCCUGGCCCGAGGGGGGCGAGAGGGGCGCGGGGCCGCGGGGGGCACCGGGGGGACGGCGGCUCCGUCUCGGUUUUGGGGUGCGUUACGGACCGGUGCCGUCGCUCCCCGCCUCUCCGCGUCGCCGUGGGAGCGCGGGGCCGGGAGGAGCCGGGGCUGAGGAGGGGGAUUUGGGGUCCGAGGGGGAUUCCCGCGCGGGAGCGGGGUGGGGACGGGUCGGGGCGCGGGGUGCGGCUGGCCGCAGCCCCACAGCUCGUUGCCGAGGGCUCGAGUCGUUGUGGGGCCGUCGGAGAAGGAACGGGGCUGCGCGGUAGCCGACUCGCCGCGCCUCGCCGCUGCCCCAGGAGCCGCGCGCUUCUUCCUGCUUUUCUUUCCUUUAUUUUGUUGUUGUUUGUUUGUUUGUUUUCCUUUCCUUUUUUUGUUUCCCCCCUCUUUUUGCGCGUUAUUCCGUUGUCCUCCCCGGCUCCGCGGCGCUUUUUCGUUCCUCUCUCCGAGCGGCAUUUCUCCCGUGUCCGUGUCACGGGGAAGCGCCGCUGCCGGUACCACAGGCAGUGCCCCGUCCCCGCGUGGGCAAGAACAGGAGGGAAAAAGACCCCAUCCUCAUUUUCUCGUUGGCAACACGGUGAAAAAGAGGAAAACGAGCGUUUAACGGGGCCGGGGCUCGGCCGCUGGGCACGAACACGAGUGGCAUCGCACACGCGGGGACUCGGGAAGGAGACGUCUCUCGAGGCCCACGGAGACCGGGGGCGGGUUGUGCACGCGUGUCCCCGUCCCCGUGCCAGGUCCCUGCUUCCGACCGAGCGGGUGCCCGGCAGUGACGGGCUCUCGGGGACAGCACUCGCCAAUGACCUGCCACCGAACUCGUGUCGCCGUGCGGGGAGGGGACACGCGUGGGAACGGCCCGGGAGAGGCUCACCUCCCGGCCACGGGCAGCCCCAGCCCGGCGGGAGCGGGGCUGCACUCCGCGACCUUCCUCUACUCGUUAUUUGUAUGGUAUCGCUAUUAAUAGAUACAGGUAGAUAGAUAGAUAGCCUAUUUCUACACCCGAGCAUCCCCAGCCUCCUCCGAACCCUCCCAGCCGCAUUUCCCCUCUACCAGCCCCUCAGAAAGAGCAGCGCGUUAAGCUCCGCUUCCGCCCUUCAUUCCCACAGAUCGAUUUUUUAAUUAUUAUUAUUAUUUUAAAUUUCUAUUUUUUUUUUUUUUAUUAUUUGACUUUCGGGGAGACCGAGCGGCAUCCGACCGCCCCGAGGACGGAGCCGCGUACCCGGGCGGCAGAAGGACUCCCCACCCAAUCCGCCACCAAAGCCGGCGGCGAGCGGCCGGACCGGCAGUCACUGUCGCUGUCACCGUCGCGGCUCCUCCCGCUCCCCUGCGGGCGACUUUCCCAUCUCACGGCCGCGAUCCGAAGGCGAACUCAGCCCCGCAUCGGCUCGCCGUGUUGGCCGAUGUAUUUAUUUUUUUCCGACUUCCCCUCCGCUGCGGGGAGGGGUUGGGAGAGGGGGGGUGCGAAGGCACUUCUUUAAUUGUCCGGGCCCCUAAUGACAUGCAGAGAUGGCUCAAAGGCAGCGGACAUCAAAGCGCAAGGGAAUGGCACGUCGGGCAGGAGAGCCGCGCUGCCCCGCUUGCCAAAGGGACGUCUCCUGCCCCGAACCGCCCCGAAGGUUUCUGCUGCCGAGCGGUGCGGGCAGGCGGCCCCGGCAGGAUUGUAUGCAAAAGCGGUCGGUGGGGAUCCUAAAAAAACCGGACAGCUCAGGGUGAGAUGAGUCUAAUUAUUGCUGGUUCUAAAAAGAGCUGGAACACCCAAGUAGGGCUUAACUCGUCUCCUGGGAAACUGAUGGAGACCUAUUUUACAAGCUGUAAUUCUGCUUUAGACUAUUGCAGGCUAAAGGCAGUUGACACUAUCCUCUUUCUUCUAGAAAUAGUCCUAAUCCUAUAUUUCGGCCGGGGAAAGUCCGCUUCUGCUCCACACUAGAUUAAUCCAGAAACCACAUAAAACCAGGUAGGGAAGAGGAUGGAAAAGGGGAGGAGGAAAAUCGUUCAAAAGUUUGUUACCUCUGCCCUGCCUAACCUUCAAAAGAGUAAAUAGCGAAGGAUGAUGCAGAGUCUGCCGGCUCCUUAUUUACGGGACAGCUAAAAACGGGGCUUUGGGUGUCGGCGGGAGCGGAUUGGGGUUUAUUUUUUUGCUCUCUCGCUGCGGUCGUCUCUCAGCGAAAUAUUUCCCCUCUCUGACGGAACCCGGGGGAGGGGGGGUGGCUCUGGGCGAGAGGAAUCUCUUCCCUAUUUCUUUUUAAUGGGGGAAGGAUAAAAAUAAGCAAGAAAAAAUAAUAAAAUAGAGUGCCCCGAGUUUUCCCGCAGCCCCGGCCGGGCCGAUGGGUUUGAUGUUUAUUUCCUAUUAAAUCGCAACGCGUGGAAACUGCGACGGUUCUGAGACGGGGAGGGCCAGGAGAAUGGGGUGGUUUCCCCCCAGGGUGGGGGAUAUGGAGAACCAAGGGGGGACGCGACGCCCAGAGAGGCACAGAACCCGGCCCUAAGUGAAAGGGCGGCAGGCGCAGGGAUGCGAAUCGGGACGGGAGGAUGGAGAAGAACCGCGGCCAGCGUGGGGUGCGGCUCCGGGGUGGUGGAUGGAUGGAGAGGUGGACGGAAGGACGGAAGGAUGGAUGGAGGAUUGGAACGAGGGGUGGGUGUUACGUUUGCAGGUGCAGCUGGGUGUGAAAUUGAAUUAACAACAACAACAACAAAGUUAUAUAUAUGAGACGGUGGGGGGGGGUCCUGGAGGUCCCGCGCCGCCCCAGCCCGGCUGGCCGCUCUCCCACGCGUGCCCGAGGCAGGAGUGUGGGCCGGGGGCUGCUGCCCGCCUGGGGCAGCGCGGGGCAGCGAACGGGGCGGGCAGCGCUUCUGUCACUGGGAAUGCUUUUCCCUUUUCUUUUUCAUGCUUUCCUUUUCUGUCUCUCUUAUCAUCUGUUGUUCUUUUAUUUCUUCCUUGCCCCUCCCCUCUUUUCUCCCCUUUAUUUUCCUUUCUUUCAUUUUCUUUUCCUUUCUUUCUCUCUCCUUUUUUCCUCCAUUUCUUCGCCACGCUUUUCCUUUCAUUCCCUCUUUCCUUUCCCCUCCCCCCCUUUUUUUCCUCCAUUCCUUCCAUUUCUCACUCCUUUCCUAUUUAUUCUUUAUUUUCCCCCCUUCCCCCCAACUUUUUCCCCUUUCCCCUCUUCUCCCUCCCCUUUUUCCCUCCCCAUUUUUUACCCUUCCACCCCCAGCUCUGACCUCCCCCCGUGCCGGACAGGGCAGGGACCGGGCGGAGCAGCCGGGCGAGGCCGGCAACUUGCAGCACGGGGGAUCAGUGUCAAGGACGGAUGGGGCCAACCUCUGAGCUGUGCUGAGCGUGCUGCUGCCGUGUGUGCAUCCCCUAUGAAACCCCAGAUCCCCAUCUCUGAUUGCCUCUUUGUGUCUGUACUUGUGUGCAAUACCUGCGUUACGCUUCAGUAGACUCGGGAGCGGACAGAAGUGCUAUCUCUGCCUCGAGGAUAUUUGAGAAGAUGCUUCUCCGGGAUGGAUCCUUUUAGGAAAAAAUAAAUCGUUAAAACACUCCGGGAAAGCUGAAGAAUGAAUGAAUUUGUGGAGCUUUCUGAGGGAUGCACAUCCGUGCCAUCCUAAGGGUGAACACUCAUCCCACCCUGCAGGACCCCAGCAAUUGCCAUCCAGCACUGAGCCAUGCUACGGCGCUCUGGUCCUCCAGCACAUCCCUCCCUUUGCUGUUGCUCUGCACUACUGCAAAAUUACAGACUGGAGAUGGGGGGCUGAAAGCAGCAGCUCUGCUUCAGGGUGGCAGUGGGACGGGGCAGAAGGUGAGGCUGAUACUGCAAGAGGUUGCCAGGACUUUCUGUUCCCUCCGGGUCCAAUCUGAGGCGUCAUUAGCAAACUAAUAAACUGGCUGCAGAUGUUGAGCCAACAGCAGGCACGUUCCUCAGGAGCAUCCCUGCUAACUCUUGGCUUUGGGAAGCAAUCAGCUCAUCCCUGUGUUUCUCUUUGUGCCCACUCUCUGCCCCACUUCUUCCCUCCUGCCUGGAAUUUUAGGAGAAAAGAAGAAAAAAUAGAAACAGGAAACAAAGCGGGAGCUUCCUCAAAUCAAUUUUUUCAAGUUGAUUUAUUUUCUUUAUAUUGCAGUGGAUGGAGCUCUGUGGCCUUACUGUUUCUCUCGGAAAAUAGAAGUAUUUGUGCCAGUCACAGCAGUGCCAGCACAGAGGUGGCUCUGGCAAUUGGCAAACACCAAUGCCAUACCCAUACCCCGCUGACCCCACCAGAUCCCUCGUGGCCGAAUGGUGUGGGUACGGCAGUAGCGAUGCUGGAGGAGGCAGGCGCUGCCCUGCAUGGGGCCGGAUCUGGGUCCUUGGGGGCAGGAAUACACCAGGGCUGGAGUUUCAUGGGGAAUAGGAAUCCGCCGUGCCCAGGUGGGGCUGCGGCUUCUAAAGUGCCUCUUAAGCUUUCCUGUAUCCUGCUAGCGAGGGAAAAAACUCACAAGGGGAUCCUGCCUGUUCACCUAGCCCUGAAGGGAGAAAAGAGAGGGAUCCCCGAGGCUGGGAGGGCUGCUCUACCCCAAAGCCCAUCUCCAGGCAGGGGGCCGAGGGAGAGGCAUCCUGCUCGCUUCUUUCUGCCUCUAGCUCUGCUUUUUGUGCUGCCCCAGGUAGCGGCCCCAGCGCAUCCCCUGCCGCGGCAGCGCUGUGCUGCACGGAGCAGCACAUUUCCCCCGAGUUACUUAUUAACCACCGUUCGUUUGACAGGAUCGAUAUUUCAAGCUAGGGAGUAAACACUUAAGAAGUAAUGCUCCUCUCUGCUCUCUUUUUCCUCGGCAAAAUGAUUUAUUUUAUAAAAUGCAUCUGCCUGGCAGGGAGGCUGGAGCCCCGUGGCUUUUAUCCGCGGGAUAUGCAAAGCGCAUUUAUUUCGUCUUUUAUCUCUCAUAUUGCGCGUUGAUCCCAUACAUAUAGAUUGAUUUUGUUCAGGUAGAUAAUGAAAAGUCAAGUGGAAAAUUUACACAAAGGCACUCAGGAUCUCCACUUUCUAUUGGUAUAUAAAUUGGUUUAUUACUUCAUUCCCUUAAACAGCGACUUUCACGCUGGGGAACACUUUAAAAUAUAUCAUGUUUAAACACAGAACCAUUUACCUUCCGUGUGGUUUCUCUCUUUCCAUCGGUAAUUUCCUCGCCACUUUUGCUAAUUACCGAAGAUAUUUGUGUUUAAACAAGGGCCCCACCAGCAGCAAUCCGUCUCCCUCCUCCUCCUGCUCCCAGCAUCAAACCACCCCAACCAGAGCUCCCGGCGCUGGGCACGGGGAUGGUGACAAAGCCUGGCAGCGGGCUCUAAUUCCCCGUAAGCAGCUUUGGCUUCGCCACCCCAAGGCAGUGAAUGGAGGGCACUGGACGGGAGAGCGCAGCUCGGAACAAAACCGGCAGGAAACGUUAUUAAUAAACAUCUUCUGGACAUUUGGUGGCUCAUCUAGGCUGCUCCAGCUUAAAGCAAUUAAUUCAGGAUACUGACAUAAACUCUCCAGCUCUUUGACAGCUUGGAGCUGAAAUAAAAAUGCUAGUUCUCCAGGGAAAAGGAGAGGAUAGUUGGCUCUUUUCUGGACUGUUUGCUUAUAGGCCCAGAGAGCAAUCUUCCUUGCAGAAUGAAAUGCAAGGACACAAACAAUGUACCGGAGAGAGAAUAGAAGAUGGGAAUGAACAGUUUGAACUAUUUGCUCAGCAGAAGGGCAGCCACAAUGCUCAACCAAUGGCUUUCCCAUGCAUCAACCGGGCUUCUUAGGCCCUUUUGUUGUUCAUCCUCUUCCUCUGACCAGAUAAGAGCACAGCUGCACGGCCGUCGACUUAGCCACGCAAAUCUGGUGCCGCGCGGAGCCGCGUCCCUGCGGAGCUCGAGGACAAGGUGACACCGGGCAGCGGCACAUCCAGCAACCCCCGCAUUCAGUGCCACCUCCCCACAGCCAGGCUGCUGACCCCUGCCCUCCCCUUGCCCCCUUCCUGCCUCCGUUGCCCAUUGCCCAGGUGGUGCUAUGCUGCUCCGACCCAAACGCCAGCUCCAACCGUGAUGCUACACCGCUUCGUGCCGCCCCAGGCUGGGAUUCGGUGAGCAAGGCUGGAACAAGGUUUGUUUAGCUUGAAAGGGUUUGACGAGGUGAAAAGGCAAAGCGCCGAGGACUAAAGAAAACGCCUGCCUGGCUGAGAUCACACGGAGCACUCGUCGUCAAAGAGCACACCUGCAGGAAGCACCGAGUUUAAACACUGCUGUCACAAAAACCUGAGAAACCUCCGGGUAUUUCAUUGUGGGCUUUUUUUUUUGUCUCUUUUCCCCCUUCUCCCCUACUGGGUGGUCAGGAGAGCAGGAGGGCUCCCAUUGUCUGCAGAGCUGACCCCACGUGUCCCUGCCAUGCCAGCACCUGGCCGACACCGCAACGCCCCAAUCCAGCCCCAAUCUCCAGCCCAGCGCCCGGCAUUGGGCUGCUUAAUGAGACCCUAACGAGGUGCUCAGCCUUCAUUUCCAAAACGCUGCGACGCAGACAAAGGGAAAGUGCAGUCAGCUCCGAGUAAUUUGUGCCGCGCUCCCGGCGAAUGAAUUUAGGGGAGCAAAUAUCGUUAUGCGGGAUUUAAAUUAAAGUUGACACUAAUGUAAAUACGGCAAUGCAACCGGCUGUUUAAGAAGUGUGAUGAGGGUACAGUUUUAAUCAGGUCCUUUUAACUCAGGUGGCAUUUUAAAUCCUCGCCGGUUCAUUUGGAUAACAGUCCCAGAGGAUGUCCUGGAGUGGGAUGGUGAGGGAUGGUUGUCCCGGGAGCUCACCUGGUGAGCAGUGAAUGCAGUGUUGGACGCUGCAGAUGGAUGGACCCCCCCUGCCAAGGGCUGGGUAACAAAGGCAGAGGCGGCAGCUAAAAGGGUUGGUAAUAAAUUCUUGCGGGGUCGGUCAGCGCCUGCCAGAUUUCCCCUGGCGCUCUUGAACAAUCUGCUUCCAGCCUAAAUCAUAGAGCUGAGGCUUGGGGGAAAAAGGGAAAAAAGAAAAAAAAAAAAAAAGAGGAAAGAGCGGAGACCGCCUCACCUACUUCAAAGCCUGAACAGCGCAGAGGUGCUUCACAAUAACAAUAGCACUGGCUGCAGCCUGGAGGAGCUCCAUAACAGGAGCUCUGUAACCUGGCAAGACUCAGAGUUACGGUUACCAGAACAAUAUUUGGCAAGGGAAUUCUCCUGGUUCAUUUUUGUCAAAGGGAACAUAACGCCACUGGCAGGGAUAUGGUGCCAGCACGGCGCUGCGUUGGGUUCAGGCUGCAGUAGUGCCUGGCUUUUCUGGGCAGAGGGUUCAAUACCUAAUAGUAAUAAUAGUAAUAAUAAUCAUAUCACCAACAUCCACUCUGGGGAAGAAAGAAACCUUCUCUUGAGGUUUUCAGACAGCUGGCUGCCUCCAUGCCAUGCGUGCAGGAUGCCCGUGCUGAGCUCAUGUGAAGUUGAGGGUUAAGGUGGGGGGUAGGGUCAGGGCCCCACGUUAACCCAGAGUUUCUCUGGCUCCCGGCCCCACUCGGAGCUGCAGAGCCCUGCCGGUCCCUGCAGGGUAUUGCAUCUUCUCGGAGCUGUCCUAAUCCCCCCGUGUGACUCAGCGCUGUUAAAAUACCAAUGAGAAUAAUAAAAUGGGUUAUAAUGCUAUUAGGUAUUCCCCUUAGCUAUCCUGGCUACCCAAGGAGGAUGGAGUGGGAUGGGGAAGGGAGAGAGGAUGCAAUGGGCAUGGGCAAGGGAGGAUCCUGCAGCUGUCCAUUGGGCUGGAGCUAGGAUUUGGGGGAAGGAAGUGGCUUCUUGCCCGGGUUUUGUUCUGUGGAGGAUCCCCAGGUGGGGUGAUCCUACCCGCAGCCCCCCCCCCCCACCAGCCCCUGCCCUUUGCACAGAUGCCUAUGUCCACAAACCCCC
ensembl:lncRNA